rnacentral:rRNA from 1 species
GACGAACGCUGGCGGCGUGCUUAACACAUGCAAGUCGAACGGAAAGGCCCUGCUUUUGUGGGGUGCUCGAGUGGCGAACGGGUGAGUAACACGUGAGUAACCUGCCCUUGACUUUGGGAUAACUUCAGGUAACUGGGGCUAAUACCGGAUAGGAGCUCCUGCUGCAUGGUGGGGGUUGGAAAGUUUCGGCUGUUGGGGAUGGACUCGCGGCUUAUCAGCUUGUUGGUGGGGUAGUGGCUUACCAAGGCUUUGACGGGUAGCCGGCCUGAGAGGGUGACCGGGGACAAGAGGACUGAGAGACGGCGCAGACGGCUACGGGAGGCAACAGGGGGGAGUAUUGCACAGUGGGAGGAAGCCUGAGGAAGAAACGCCGCGUGCGGGAUGACGGCCUUCGGGUUGUGAACCGCUUUCGCCUGAGACGAAGCGUGAGUGACGGUAAUGGGUAAAGAAGCACCGGCUAACUACGUG